rnacentral:rRNA from 1 species
ACGCAGCAGGCGCGAAUUUUCACAAUGGGGGAAACCCUGAUGGAGCGACGCCGCGUGGAGGAUGAAGGCCCUCGGGUCGUAAACUCCUGUCACGCGGGAACAAGAAAGUGAUAGUACCGCAAGAGGAAGAGACGGCUAACUCUGUGCCAGCAGCCGCGGUAAUACAGAGGUCUCAAGCGUUAUUCGGAUUCAUUGGGCGUAAAGGGUGCGUAGGUGGCGAUGUAAGUCUGGUGUGAAAUCUCGGAGCUUAACUCCGAAACUGCAUUGGAUACUGCGUUGCUUGAGGAUUGUAGAGGAGAGUGGAAUUCACGGUGUAGCAGUGAAAUGCGUAGAUAUCGUGAGGAAGACCAGUUGCGAAGGCGACUCUCUGGGCAAUUCCUGACACUGAGGCACGAAGGCCAGGGGAGCAAACGGGAUUAGAUACCCCUGUAGU